CCUGUCCUGUUCCAGAGUUCCCCCAACAGAGCUGCAGCCUUCCCAAGGCUCCACCAUGCUCCUGGUGCUCCUCCCAGUGCUGGGGAUACACUUUCUCCUAAGAGAAGCCCAAGCUCAGUCAGUGACUCAGCCUGAUGCUCAUGUCACUGUCGCUGAAGAAACCUUUCUGCAGCUGAGAUGCAAGUUUUCCUCCACCGUAGCACCUUAUCUAUUCUGGUAUGUCCAGCACCCAGGACAAGGGCUGCAGCUGAUCCUCAAGUACUAUUCAGGAGACCCAGUGGUUCAUGGCAUGAAUGGUUUUGAGGCUGAGUUCAACAAGAGUGACUCUUCCUUCCACCUGCGGAAAGCCUCUGUGGACUGCAGCGACUCAGCUGUGUACUUCUGUGCUGUGAGCGCACAGUGUGUGGGGCUGCAGGGGGAGCUGAACAUAAACACCCAUGGCCGUGGGUGCUCAGACUCAAGAGCUCUCCUUGUGGACUCUGACUUCUCAACUUGGCAAGGAGAAAGGGAAAGUUGUGCAGUCCCAGCUGCCUUUGCACAACUCAUUUCCAGCUGAAAUUUCUACUGUCUGACUUUGUAUUAUUAAAGGUCUUUUCAUAUUUUCUAAAUUAUAAAAUGCACAAUCAUAAUUCUUAGAAUGGAGGAGACUGUGUCAUUUUUCCAUGAGGACCAUUUCCUGAGUGGGCAGUGGACAGUGACUACACUCGGCAGCUGGUUGUGUCUGUGAGGAAAGACUGGAAGCUUUCAUUUGUCGUUUUAUGUUUCAUCUGCACAGGGAGUGGACAGUGCACUCUUCAGUUUUGUCCUGAAGUUUGCCUUCACUACUGUCUUCCAUGCCGAUUGCCCUAUAAAUUUUUUAAUUACACUGAUCAGAUUGGUCACAAUAUUUAGGUACUUUCAUUUAGGAAAGAAUUUGAUGCAUUGUUAGUUGAUAUAAAAUUUACCAGAAAGAGGAAAGCUUAGACAUCUGUCAUAAUUAUGUCAGUUCUAGCAACCAUUAAAAAUAAAACAGGAGAAUAAGGAAUUGUAGCUUAUUGGAAUUUUUUCCAGAGAGUUCUUCACGGUUUUAAAUCUACUAUCCUAUUUUUGUUGCCAUCUUAAAAUUUUCAAAUCUACUUGAGAAUUUGUAGCAUGAUUCCUUCUGCAUCUUUUAUUAGUGUGCAUCGCUUCCUCCCUUAUUUCCAUGGUUUUUAUGGUAAUAUUAAACAUAGAUUCUUUUAUCCUGAUAUUGUCAUGUCCUGCUGAAAUAGAGGCAAGGGUCACAGUGGACAUUAGUGCUCACUGGCUCCAGUGUGGAAUUUUAUUUUCUUCUUCCUCUAUUGGAGACAAUGGUAAAAGAAGAUAUUUUAACCUCUGUUCAUACAGCAUAGGAAGAUGAAUACUCAGGAUAAGAAGGAAAGGGAAGAGAGAAUUUAAUAGCUGUUGCAGGCUUAGAAAUGGAAGUAAGUAUUGCCAUGGACCCAUGAGCACUUGAGUAUGAUUUCCAGCACACGUAAAAAGCUGGGCAUGGUGGCUGUGCUGGGAGGUGAGGACAGACAGAUCCUGAAAGCCUGCUAUCCAGCCAACCUAGGCUA